AGCAGCCGCGGUAAUUCCAGCUCCAAUAGCGUAUAUUAAAGUUGUUGCAGUUAAAAAGCUCGUAGUUGAAUUUCGGGAUUGGCGCAUCGGUCGUGCCUCACGGGGUAUGAACUGGUGCAGUCAAUUUCUCACCUUCUGGAGAACCGCGAUGUCCUUAAUUGGAUGCCGCGGGGAACCAGGACCUUUACUUUGAAAAAUUGAGUGUUUAAAGCAGGCAUUUUUGCUUGAAUACAUUAGCAUGGAAUAAUAAAAUAGGACGGCAUGGUUCUAUUUUGUGGUUUCUAGGACCACCGUAAUGAUUAAUAGGGAUAGUUGGGGGCAUUAGUAUUCAAUUGUCAGAGGUGAAAUUCUUGGAUUUAUUGAAGACUAACUACUGCGAAAGCAUUUGCCAAGGAUGUUUUCAUUAAUCAAGUAACGAAAGUUAGGGGAUCGAAGACGAUCAGAUACCGUCGUAGUCUUAACCAUAAACUAUGCCGACUAGGAAUAGACGAUGUUAAUUUUUAAUGUACUCGUUUGGCUA
rnacentral:misc_RNA from 1 species